rnacentral:rRNA from 1 species
GUGAGGAAUAUUGGUCAAUGGGCGCAAGCCUGAACCAGCCAUCCCGCGUGAAGGAAGAAGGCCCUACGGGUUGUAAACUUCUUUUCUGUUUGAAGAAUAAGCUUGUCGAGACAAGUGAUGCCGGUAGGACAGGAAUAAGCAUCGGCUAACUCCGUGCCAGCAGCCGCGGUAAUACGGAGGAUGCAAGCGUUAUCCGGAUUUAUUGGGUUUAAAGGGUGCGCAGGUGGUUGAAUAAGUCAGUGGUGAAAGUCUGGCGCUUAACGUUAGGAUUGCCAUUGAUACUGUUUGACUUGAAUAUGGAUGAGGUAGGCGGAAUGUGUAGUGUAGCGGUGAAAUGCUUAGAUAUUACACAGAACACCGAUUACGAAGGCAGCUUACUAAUCCAUUAUUGACGCUGAGGCACGAAAGCGUGGGGAUCAAACAGGAUUAGAUACCCGUGUAGUCC